rnacentral:rRNA from 1 species
UACGAAGGGGGCUAGCGUUGUUCGGAAUUACUGGGCGUAAAGCGCACGUAGGCGGACAUUUAAGUCAGGGGUGAAAUCCCGGGGCUCAACCCCGGAACUGCCCUUGAAACUGCUAAGCUAGAAUCUUGGAGAGGCGAGUGGAAUUCCGAGUGUAGAGGUGAAAUUCGUAGAUAUUCGGAAGAACACCAGUGGCGAAGGCGACUCGCUGGACAAGUAUUGACGCUGAGGUGCGAAAGCGUGGGGAGCAAACAGG